rnacentral:tRNA from 4 species
GCCCGGCUAGCUCAAUCGGUAGAGCGUGAGACUUUUAAUCUCAAGGCUGCGGGUUCGAGCCCCGCGUUGGGCU